GGAAGGGGUGUAUUUAUUAGAUAAAAAACCAAUGCCCUUCGGGGCUCCUUGGUGAAUCAUAAUAACUUAACGAAUCGCAUGGCCUUGCGCCGGCGAUGGUUCAUUCAAAUUUCUGCCCUAUCAACUUUCGAUGGUAGGAUAGUGGCCUACCAUGGUGGCAACGGGUAACGGGGAAUUAGGGUUCGAUUCCGGAGAGGGGGCCUGAGAAACGGCUACCACAUCCAGGAAGGCAGCAGGCGCGCAAAUUACCCAAUCCCGACACGGGGAGGUAGUGACAAUAAAUACUGAUACGGGGCUCUUUUGGGUCUCGUAAUUGGAAUGAGUACAAUCUAAAUCCCUUAACGAGGAACAAUUGGAGGGCAAGUCUGGUGCCAGCAGCCGCGGUAAUUCCAGCUCCAAUAGCGUAUAUUAAAGUUGUUGCAGUUAAAAAGCUCGUAGUUGAACCUUGGGUCUGGCUGGCCGGUCCGCCUCACCGCGAGUACUGGUCCGGCUGGACCUUUCCUUCUGGGGAAUCUCAUGGCCUUCACUGGCUGUGGGGGGAACCAGGACUUUUAC
rnacentral:rRNA from 1 species